rnacentral:rRNA from 1 species
UACGUAGGGACCAAGCGUUGUUCGGAUUUACUGGGCGUAAAGGGCGCGUAGGCGGCAAAUCAAGUCAGCUGUGAAAUCUCCGAGCUUAACUCGGAACGGUCAGCUGAUACUGUUUUGCUAGAGUACAGAAGGGGCAAUCGGAAUUCUUGGUGUAGCGGUGAAAUGCGUAGAUAUCUGGAGGAACACCGGUGGCGAAGGCGGCAUCCUGGACCGGCAUUGACGCUGAGGCGCGAAAGCUAGGGGAGCAAACGGG